AGGGCCAGAGAUGAUAAAUUAAAGGAGUAACUUUGCAGCUGAUGAUUGAGAAGAUAUGGCUAUGCUUCACAUAAUAAAUAGAAAAUAAUAUUAUUGCUGUACUUUGACCCUGUUGGUGCACACCCUACUGGUGAGAUUGGUGAACACUCACGUGGGGGUCCCCAACACUCAUAUGUUUUUUCAGUAAGUUGCCAUUGGGAGCCUACCUGAACUUAAGAGUUUUUGGAACUGACUACUUAACUAAAGAUGGAACAAGGGUACAGGAUUAUAUCCAUGUACAUUUAGCUGACGGAUACGCUGCUGCAUUGAAAAAGCUCUCUGUCCCAAAAAUAGGUGUGUCUAUGUAUUUUUUUCCUACUAAUUACAGUUUAAAGAAAUAUGCAAAAUUGAUACAUAGGGUUGUUUCAUUUGUGUCAAGCUGCUGCUGUAUUUGGAGGGAAGAGUUUGGCAACCCAAAUAUCUGAGAGAUUUGCAUAUGAGGUUUAUGUUUUUAUAAGACUUGUCUACAUAUUUAUUAAAAAUUUGAAUUAAAUGUUUAUUAAUUAAUCUGAUAUAGAUUGCAGGCGCUAUUUUUUUCAUUAUCUUUGUAAUCCAGUCAUUCUUUUCAACAAUAGAAUCAUAAGUAUGGAUACUGGAUACUACAAAGGUUUGUAUUCAUCAUCUUUCUCAUUUAGUAAAAGUCAUCUAAUAGUUAGAUUAUUAAUGUCAAAAUUCAUUGCUUCCACCUUCAAGUCCUUUAUUUAUACUUUUGAUUGAAUGUUGGUAACUAGAUUAAAUAUAUAGGAUGUGCCACUAGGAUGAGCACGGUACCCGUUCCGUACCGAAAAACGGGAAAAGUUGGUAUCGGUACUGGUACCGAAUAUACCGGUUCGAUACCGGUACCGGUACCGAAAAACGGGGAAAGUGGGUACCGUUACCAAUACCUUAACAAAUUCCUUUCUAAUCAAAUUUUCCCUAAAUUAUGUUAAUUCAAUUUCUUAGUUGAAUUCUCUACUUAUAAUCUUAUUUGAUUAUGAUGCCAGAGUGUAACCUUGAAAUGUUGAGGGGAAUAUCAUUUGUGUUUAACAAAAAUGUUGUGGUGACAGGAUUCUUUUCCAUCUCAGCAAUCCGUGAUCCGAUUGACCUAGGAUGCAGGCUCACACCAUAAUCUAGAAAUAACCAGAGUGGCCUUUGAAUUGUGUUCCGGAACUUACUGCUUCAUCAAACCAAUAAAUUUUAAAGUGCUCGGAGAGGGUAUAGAGGUUGCUUCUUGAGCGCCCAGUUGGAGAUUUAGAAGUUGUUGCCUGCUGAUACAUGGGAUCUUGAAUAGAGCUUGUAACUACUCUAUACAUAUCACCACUAUAUGCUAAAAUAAUGUUUUGGCCUCUUGCACUACCAUAAAAAAGUCACUUCAAAGCUGCAGCAAAAAUGAGAGCUAUGAAGCUUGAAAAUGGUAUUUACCUUAAUGUGGUCUCGGAUUUUACAAAAACUAUUCUUUCUCUUUUGUCAACAUACUUCAUCUUUUAGACAGUGCAGUGCACUUUUUUACUGAAAGGAGAAGCAUCAAAAUGAUCAUGAUCAUUCGUUUAUUCUUAUGUUAUCACUGACUUGGCUAUUGUUGCUUUCAACGAGGCUUGUAGGAUGAUUGGCUUUAAUUUAC